UCACUGGGCUUUGUUUAUCUCA
ensembl:ncRNA